AUCGCUGCAGUUGAAUUUCAGUGGUUUUAUCGCCCGAUGCAGAAACGCAUCGUAAGCUGACAUUAGAUUGCAAUGGCGCGCACGGAAUAUGAAACACGCAUCACAGAGAGACUCGUUCAACUGCGGAGUGUAUUGCCUAAUGGAAAUAUACAUAUUUUGCGGUAUGUCAUUUCAAGGGCCGCUUCACUGAGAUGGAACGGAUCACAAACGAGGAUCUUGCUGCUAUGCGAUUAUCGGUAGCGACGCAGUUACUGUCCUUUAAACACUUCCUUAUUGAUACGUGUCCGAAAUGUGGCUUUGCAGUAGAUGAAGCGGAGCAAAAGUGUGGUACUUGGGGAAGAGAUUUCCAUUUCAAACCCUACUGCGUAGAAGAUGACCUGGUCAUCCUUAAACGUGGGGAGAAGUUUUCUUGCAUGCUCUGCAGAAGUGGGUUU